rnacentral:rRNA from 1 species
CCCUCGCCGGGCGCAUUUCCUCCCGURGCGGUGCGCCNGACCGGCUCUGGGUCGGCUUGGAAAGGCUCGGGACGAAGGUGGCUCGCGACUCCGGCCGCGAGCUUUACAGCGCCCCCGUCUGGACCUCGCCGUUUCCUGGGGCCGUGGACUAAGUGCUCGUGCGCCCUCUCUCCCCGCGGSGAGGGACGGGGCCCCCUGCUCCCGGCGCGGCUGUCGACCGGGGCGGACUGUCCUCAGUGCGCCCCAACCGCGUCGCGUCGCCAGGGCGGGGAUCGGCUCACGUAAAAGGCGUCAGGGGUCUGCGGCGAUGUCGGCAACCCAC